UGAUAUUUGAUGUAUCUGUAGUCCCUGCACAUAUCGAAUUCGAACCGACAUACAAUUUUCCAUAUUUUUUCAUGUUUCUAACGAAAUUAAAGGGACGAAAGAACGUCGACGAGUAUCUCGUCGGCAAACUCUGUGAAUUGCUGUUAUUCGAUGACCGGAGACGAUGAAUAGUAUGCGAGUAAACGAAAAGCGGACGAUGGACUAUCCACGACGUGUGGUAUUUGAAAAAGUCAGCGAGGAUUCGUUUUAACCAUCGUGGACGAUUAAUUUUACGUAGUGGAGAAACACACGAGGAAUAGGAGUCUCCAGGCGAAAAGAUGUUAUCGUUAUCGCGCAUUUUCCAGCAGGCGGUUAACCGGAAUUUAAGAGUCGGCAACGUGUGAGCGAGAACGAGCAUGGAAUAUCAAGCUGUCUGCACCGUCCAUGGAAUACCAUCGCUGGACGCGUUUCAUCGCGUAAGAACGUACGCACCCAAGCUCGGCGGAAAAUCGAUCGUCUUUCGAGCUAUUUUUUUCGAAGCAAAUGGAGCCGAAGAAUAAUCGUUCGCAAUUAUAUUCGAAGUGCGAUCAUUUGCGAGUAAACGUAGCCGGAGUAAACGUUUAACACGAACGACAGAGAACGGUAGUUGGCACGUAGGUGUUACACCCAUUGAUUCGUAUCUGAUUCGUUCGAGCAAUUAUGUUAAUAACGACGGACGAAGGCAGACGUAGCUCGAGGUUAUUAGAGGGCACCAGCGUGUCUGAAACUUUAGCUCUACCACUAUCUUAACGAUCUGCGAAUCGUUUCGUCCUACGCGUUACCGUAAACUCAUCGGUGCAAUCUCGAAGUCGAGAGCGAGCGCCGAUGAUUCGCGAGUUUUCAUCUCGCGGUGUGCAAUUUCGUUUUCUAUGCAGCUCGCCCGACGGAUCUUCUUGCGACACGUUGGUCACUCAUGGUACCGGUUUUUACCGCUGAGUUUCUGCGAUGCGAUCGUGGACUCGCGCAAGGGAAAGGUGGCAAAACGUAGCAAACGUUGGAUAAAGCGCGGACAUUAGAGACGAAAGCGUAAGGAAGCGAUUUCUUGGUGAUUCAUUCGAGCGGAGUAUUAUCGAAGCCGAGGAGAAACUCGUCAUGCUCGGCAGUAACGAAGAGCCGAUCGCGUGUGCUAUGGCAAUUUUUAUCGUAAGUCUCUGCCGAGCAAAAGAUGACAAAGCGAUGGUAAACGUAGCUGUGUACAUUGGAGAUGAGAGCGCGAAGAAGACUAUAGCUUAGUAAUUAUUCCGAGCGAAGUAUUAUCGAAGCGAAGGGAAGAUCGUGCGUCGCGUCGCGAAGAGGAACGAAGAAGCGGCCCUCCGCCUAUAAGCAUCACGUCCCUGGCCACCUCCUCGGCUCGUUCGUUCGUUUUUUUCUUGUUCUCGUCGGGUCGUUUUGUUCCGAAGGCGAGUCGGCUGGUCCGUGCUCGUUGUCUACCUGCUCGUAGCUGGUUGUGCAAGCGGUGGUUCGAUUGGUUCGUGCCGAUGCACCAUCCGUUUGGAUUGGUCAAACCGGAUCGGUUAGCCUCCGGGGAAGGAGGAUCGCGAGCCGAUGCCACCAGAGACCUAUCGUGCUCUUGCUACGGUCAACUAGUCCCGUGAUCUCGAGGACCGGCGAUUCUCUAACGCAACAAGACAAACAGGACAAAGAAGAAGAUGCUCGUUGCAGACGGUCGUCCUUUGCGCCACGUAUUACCUUGGGCCUUAUUAAACACGCGCAAACGCGUUGAAACGGGUUGCCGUUACAGUACCACAGUACGAGUAGAGUGGACCAUUUAUAACUAUACCGAGCCUCCCCUUCGAAUAACACAGCGUUCCAAGUCGUUGGGGAAUCGUUCGUUCAGAUCGGAUAAUCGAGGAAAACUUGCACCUUUCGUAUCGUAAUUGUAGUUAGGAGAAAUUAUUUACUUGCUCAUUACGUAUUUUCAGACGCCUCACGAUGGUGUACUAUGUCAGAGAACGUUCGAUAUCUUAAGGUUUAAAAAUUGCAUGUUUGAAAAUUCGAAUUUUACGAGAUGGCUGGUACGUUACAACAACGGACAGGUUGAACGAAUUUGCCGUAAAAGGGAACGCGAGUCUCUUGGUGCAAGGAGGGUGAAACGAGCGGAAAUCGUCGUUCCCACGUUUUACAGCGGGUAUCGCAUUCUCACAGCGGCGGAAGAUAUUCGGUGCGAGAAAGCGGCGGUGCUAGAUGCGUUUUUUCAUCGAUUCUUCCGCGCUUGAAGAAAAUGCAAUUAACUAGAAACGAAAAGUUCCGUCUCGCUCCGAUUAAUAAAGUCGAACGAAACUCUUGAUUCUCCUGUAAACGAACUCUACGAUCUACCGCUUUUUGCUCCUAGUUUCCUAGGUCGUACGUACUCGAUGACCUCUUCUAGGCACGAUGAAUUAUUCAACGGCUCUCGAGACUUCUCGUUUCUCUUGUUUCGCGUCAAAUAUUUUGUGAGUUAUCAGAGUGAAGAAAGUCAGCGAACGAUUCGAAUCCUCUUUUCCUGCUCGUGUCUUGCUCAAGGUCGUGAUCUUUGAACCAACCACUCGCACGAUUGCCUCUCGUGUCCUCUACUUAGACGUCGAAACCAGUUUAAAGCCAACCGAACUAAGAAGUAACGCUAUCUGCUUUAUUAUUCAAACAAUUAGAAUUGCAUUAACCAAAUAAAUAUCUUACGAGCUUGUAAAAAGUAUAAAAAUCAAAGUGACACGAAAUCAACGUCGAAGAGAAACGAUUCGCCGAUUGUUUCGAGAAAUUUAUAUAUUUAACUUAUUAACCUAUUAAGCAACCAACGUUGCAUUCCUUCCUUUGUAAUUCUCCUUCAGCCGAUUCGCAUUAUCGCAUUUUCUUUUGAAUCCCAUUUUUCAGUUUCACUUUCUCCCUCCACCUAUCUUCUCAAAUACGCAAAAUUUUCAAGAACUCGAAGUAUCUAUAGAUCUUUACCUAUUACGAUACCCACUGUUCCAACUGCCGAAGGAAAUUGCCGAAGGUUCGGACCUGUCCCGAGGACGCGAACUGGAACGUUGACGAAACGCCGGAACGAAGCGCGACGUGCUAUCGGAGAGGCGAUAGAGAGCCAAAGAGAACCACGAAUAUGCGUUUAUCGUUCGAUAAACACCGCUUUCAGUUUCAAAUCUAAAAAGCAGAUUUUCUGUUUUACAGAUGGAAGGCCGCACGAGCGUACGUUGAACCGAACGAGCGAGCAGAAAGGGGAUCGGCGACAAUGGGACACUUGUCUGGGAGGGUAGAACACGCGAAGAAGGAGCGGUCGUUGUAAGAGGGUGGUUGUCAUGGCGAGGUGGAAAUGGAUCCUCCCGUUGCUCGCGGCUUUCUGCACCCUGACCGACGCGUACCUGGCGGUGCUGUCUUCGAGCACGCCAGCCGGCAGCGUGGUUUUCGAGGCAGGUGUACCGCAGCUGGGUGGGCGUCGAAAGUACGAGGUCUCGAACGAGAGGACCGCCUGGUUUGCCAGGAAGCUGCUCAAGGUGCAUCCUCACACUGGCCGGGUCACGUUGGCGCGACCUUUGAGCUGCGACGGUCUUCAGUAUCCGCGAAUCUUCACCUUCUACGUGGACUCGACCAGUUCAAGGUUAGGCAGACCGACGAUCGACUACUACAGUCUGCCACUCAGGAUCCUGAUCACCGGUUGCGGCGGAGAGAAUCGAGAUCUGGCUGCUACCAGGGGAUGGAUGGCGGAGACUUUGGCCUCGUACGCUAUGCCCAGCACCGAGAGGUUCACGGAGGUCUGCCUUAGAACGUCUCAACUGGUAGCAGCGUUGCGAGACUUCCUUCCACAGACUGCCCUAAAAGAGUGCGAGACUAGGUGGGGUGGCGUAGCGGAUCCCAGGUUUCUGAUCGAAGGUGCAGCAGGAGAUUUGGUCUCGGCAACGGAGCAAUGCCUGGUGGAUCCUCUUUGGAAAAUCUCCGUAUCGAUGAACCUCAGAUGCGGCAUCGAAUCGCGGUUAACCGACGCGGAACAUCGUCUGAAGAUCGUCUUUCAUCACCGUCAACUGGACGACACGGAUCUCGGCAGGCGAGUCCGCAGAGAAUUGAAGAAUCAGUCUCCGUAUUUCGAGCAAUCCCUGUACGUUGCGGUCGUCGAAGAGGAAAAAGAACCUGGCGCCUACGUAACAUCCGUCAGAGCCAGGGAUCCUGAAGGAGGCACGGUUCGUUACUCCAUGAGUUCUCUGUUAGAUGCACGAUCACAGGCGUUACUCGUCUUGGAUCCAGUUACGGGAAGGGUUACGACACGCGCUAGAUUAGAUAGAGAGAGCGUGGACGUUCACUAUUUUCGGGUACUUGCCGUGGACGACUCGUUCCCUCCGAGAACCGGUACUACCACCUUACAGGUGAACGUCCUGGAUACGAACGAUCACGCGCCAACCUUCGAGUGGCCGGAAGACGAGGCUUCUAUCAGAGAGGGUGUACCAGUUGGUUCUACGGUUGUUACGGUCAAAGCUACGGACCAAGAUACAGGCAGAAACGCCGAAGUCGAAUAUUCCAUCUUAUCGACGACCAGCGGCAGUGGAGUGGCGAACGCCGACGACGCUCUGACCUUCAGGAUAGAUCCGAGAACCGGUGUUGUUACAACGCGUACGCCUCUCGACAGAGAAAAGACCGAGGUGUACACGGUCAUUCUGAGCGUGUCCGAUCAGGCGACACCACCUUCCGCGCGAAAAUCCGCGAACGCCACGCUGGUCGUCCGCGUGCUAGACGAUAAUGAUAAUUACCCUCAAUUCACUGAACGUACGUACUCUGCUUGGAUACCGGAGGACUUGGAUUACACGGCGAAUCCGGUGAUAGCGCGCAUACGCGCAACGGACGCGGAUUCGGGGAACAACGCGGCUGUUCGAUACGCCAUAAUCGGUGGAAACACGCAGAACACUUUUUCCAUAGACUCUAUGAUCGGCGACGUGGCUCUCGUCAAGCCUCUGGAUUACGAAUCCACCAGGAGUUACAAGAUAGUUAUACGCGCUCAGGACGGCGGUUCGCCAGCCAGGUCGAACACUACGCAGUUGUUAGUGCACGUAGGAGAUGUGAAUGAUAAUGCGCCGCGAUUUUAUACCAGUCACUUUCAAGAGUCCGUGUCGGAGAACGUUCCUAUAGGAUACUCGAUGCUGAGGAUACAGGCGUACGACGCUGACGAGGGUGCGAACGCUCAAAUAAAGUACACUAUAGGGGCGCGAGACUUCUCCGGAGCUUCCACCGAAAACUUCCCCAUAACAGUUAACACGGAGACUGGGUGGAUCUAUACAACGAAACAGCUCGAUCGUGAGCAAUGUUCAAGGUACCAGUUCACCGUGAUUGCAGCGGACUCUGGUGAAGUACCCAAAUCUGCGAGCGCUACCGUGAUACUCACCGUAACCGACGUGAACGACAACGAUCCUUAUUUCGACCCUAAGAACUACGAAGCUGUGGUCUCUGAAGACGAUCCCCCGGGCACUCCUGUCACCUCUGUCACGGCGACCGAUCCUGACGAGGACGCUAGGAUACAUUACGAAAUCACCGCUGGCAAUACUAGAGGUCGAUUCUCUAUCGCGUCUCAGAAUGGACGUGGUUUGAUAACAGUAGCUCAACCGCUCGAUUAUAAGCAAGAAAAGAGGUUCGUUCUUACUGUUACGGCCUCCGAUAGCGGUGGUAGAACCGACACAGCUCUCGUUUAUGUCAACGUCUCGGACGCCAAUAAUUUCGAACCGGUUUUUGAGAACACACCGUACGCUGUGUCACUGUUCGAAGAUGCGCCUAUUGGCACAACAGUUCUCGUCGUCAGCGCGACCGAUUCAGACGUUGGAAAGAAUGCUCAAAUCACCUACAGUUUAGGCACCGAUGGUGGAGAGUCAGCGUCCGAAUUUACUAUAAAUCCGCAAACAGGAGCUAUCACGACCACUCGUACUUUGGAUCGUGAACUUGUACCUGGCUAUUUCCUAACUGUUACCGCGAGAGACGGAGGCGUGCCACCUUUAUCGGAUACCAUCAACGUGGAAAUAUCCGUUACGGAUGUGAACGACAACGCUCCUGUUUUCGAAUCUCCUCAAUACCAAGGAUCCAUUCCAGAAGAUGUUGCGGGUGGUACUAGUGUUCUCAGAGUUUCCGCCACCGACGCGGAUACAGAUCUCAAUGGCAGAGUGAGAUACGCUUUGGAAGACGACGGGGAUGGCGCCUUUGCUAUAGACUCAAGCACGGGUGUAAUUAGAACAGCCAAGCCAUUGGACAGAGAAUCUGUCGCCAUGUACACUUUGAAAGCAGUUGCGAUGGACAGAGGAUCUCCGUCUCUCUCGACGGUAGUGCCAGUGACAAUUAAAAUACAGGAUGUGAACGAUUCUCCACCCGCUUUCGAGAACGACAAGAUCGUUCUUUACAUAGCCGAAAAUUCACCGAUCGGUUCAACCGUCGGUGAAAUUUACGCGCACGAUCCGGACGAAGGACCAAACGCCGUUGUACAGUAUUCCGUGAUAGGAGGCGAGGAUUCAAACAGUUUCGCCCUGAAUGUCAGGUCAGGUGCGGAUCGCGCGGAACUGAUUACGCUCGAAGAACUGGACUACGAGUCGCCGAAGAAAAAGUUCGAGUUAGUCGUGCGUGCCGCUUCGCCUCCUUUGCGAUCGGAUGCUCUAGUUCAGAUACUAGUAACCGACGUGAAUGACAACGCGCCCGUAUUGAAAGACUUUCAGAUUAUAUUCAAUAACUUCAAAGAUUUCUUUCCGACCGCUCCCAUAGGUAAGAUACCUGCUGUGGACGCAGACGUCACGGAUAAGUUAACAUACACCGUGCUUGCUGGAAACAAUGCUAAUUUGAUCGACUUGAACAGAACCACCGGUGAAAUCCGACUGUCGCCGCAAUUGAACACGAAUGUACCACGUGUCGCGACGAUGGAGGUGUCCGUCACGGACGGUAUCAACGAGGUCAAGGCCACGAUGACUCUCUCGGUGCGCCUCAUCACCGAUAAAAUGCUCCUCAAUUCCAUCACCGUUAGAUUAGACGAUAUGACGGCCGAGGCUUUCCUCAGUCCUCUGCUGGGAUAUUUUCUGGAUGGUUUGGCAGCAAUUAUCCCGUGCCCCAGAGAGAACAUCUUUCUCUUUAGCAUACAGGAGGACGCCAAUGUAAAUGGGAAGAUCCUAAACGUGAGCUUCUCUGCGCGUAAAGUAGAACCAGGCGUGACGGACGAGUUUUACAGCCCGCAAUUUCUUCAAGAACGUGUGUAUCUGAACAGGGGUAUACUGGCGAGACUGGCCACAGUUACGGUGCUACCGUUCGACGAUAAUCUUUGCGUCAGAGAACCCUGUUUGAAUUUCGAGGAAUGCAUAACGGUAUUAAAGUUUGGAAACGCUUCUGGAUUCGCUAGUAGCGAUACUGUAUUGUUUAGACCUAUAUAUCCGGUAACGACCUUCGCGUGCAGAUGCGCGAAGGGUUUCACUGGUAGCAAAGAAUCUUACUUAUGCGACACGGAGGUUAACUUAUGCUACUCGAAUCCGUGUAUGAACGAUGGCACUUGUUACAGAAGAGAAGGAGGAUACGCAUGUUUCUGCGGCCCUGAAUUCGCGGGAGAAAACUGCGAAAUCUCGUUGAAUAAGGAUUCCUGCGCUCCAGGGAUCUGUAAAGGAGGCUCCCAGUGUACCAUGAAAACGACUGGCGGUUUCACGUGCGAAGGUUGCCCUGUGACAACUCUAGAAAGCGUGACUCCACUGUGCGAGCUGAAAGCUCGUAGCUUUGGAUCGGCAACGUUCCUCACGUUCGCGUCUCUAAGGCAAAGACACAGACUGCAUAUCAAAUUAAGAUUCGCUACCGAAGGAGCAAAUGGUCUUUUGCUUUACAACGGGCGAUACAACGAGAAACACGACUUCAUAGCUUUAGAGAUAAUCGAUUCCGAGGUACAGUUCAGUUUUUCCCUUGGUGACGAGAUUACCCGAGCGAGUGCCAGCAUACCUGGUGGAGUAUCUGAUGGUCAGUGGCACGAAGUGGAAGUCUCUUACAUAAAUAAAACUGUAACGAUCUCGCUUGACAACUGUGACGUUGCUCUCGCUUUGGAAUACGGCAAAAGACUUGGAUCGAGGUGGUCUUGCGCGGGAAGAAGCGAACAAGUGUUGGAGGAACGUUGUAGCAUCGUCACCGAGACGUGUCAUCGAUUCUUAGAUCUAACAGGACCUUUACAAUUAGGUGGCCUGCCUGCUAUACCAUCCAGUUUUCGCAUCAGAAACAAAGAUUUCGUGGGUUGCGUCAGCGACCUGUACAUCGAUCAUAUUUUCAUCGAUCUAAAUUCAUUUGUAGCUGACAAUGGCACUAACCCUGGUUGCCCGGAGAAGGUUUCUUUCUGUUCAUCGACUCCGUGCAAAAAUAACGGCAAGUGUCGGGAGAUAUGGUCCGGUUUCGUUUGCGAGUGCGAAGAGAAUUUUGCUGGACCUACCUGCGCUGACGAAGUCGGUAAACCAUGGAACUUCCACGGUGACGGAAUGCUCAGCUUUAAUCCUUUGCUAAGACCAAUCCAGCUUCCCUGGUUAACAGCGCUUAGUCUGAGAACGCGAUCCAAGCAGGCGUUCGUCAUGAGCGUGCAAAUAGGGCAAAACAGUUCUGCGUUGCUCGAGAUCCGAGAGGGUAAACUAGUUGCUCUGUUAGACGGCGCGGACAUCAUUCAAACAUGGAACGAUGUCGCCGAUGGCGAAUGGCACAGAGUGGAGAUCAUCUGGCAAAGUGGUCACGUCUCUCUCGAUAUCGAUUACCGGAAUAGGCCCAUAUCCUCGUCAUUACCAGCGAAAUUACAGGGUCUGUACAUCGGUAGGAUCCUGGUCGGUGGACCGGAGCAAUCGAUGAACACCGAGCUACCAUAUUUCGACGGCUGCCUCCAGGACAUUCGUAUAGGCAGCAACCAAAGCGUAUUAUUAAGACCGACCGUUCAGGAGAACGUCGCGACCGGCUGCAGCUCGGAGGCCGAGUGCAACGUCGACUGUCCGGAGGCAUCGAUUUGCGUUCCAAAAUGGCAAGCGGGCGAGUGCGUCUGCGCGACCGGUCGCGUAGGACGUAAUUGCGACCGCGUUUGCGAUUUGAAUCCCUGUAACAGUACUGGAACCUGUAUCGAGGAUACGGCCUCUCGUAGGGGAUACAGAUGCGAUUGUAACUCGCCAGAAUACUCCGGAGACUACUGCGAGAUUAAAGCUGACCAACCUUGCCCGGCAACCUGGUGGGGCUCGCCUGUGUGCGGGCCAUGUCAUUGCGACGAGUCCAAGGGCUAUGAUCCUGCAUGCAAUAAGACUACAGGCGAAUGUUACUGUAAGGAGAAUCACUAUCAACCUUCUGGUAAAAAGGAGUGCAUUCCAUGCGAAUGUUAUGCAACCGGAAGCUUCGGUCCUCGCUGUGACACCGAGACUGGACAGUGCCGGUGCAGAAUCGGGGUCAUUGGACGGUCUUGUACGGCGUGUCCCAAUCCAUAUGCCGAAGUCACUCUUCGUGGCUGCGAGGUGGUGUAUGAUGGGUGUCCUAGAUCUUACGCCGAAGGUUUAUGGUGGCCGAGGACCAAGUUUGGAAUGACUGCUGUCGAGGAUUGUCCUGAUAUCGCUGAAGGAAAGACUUCUAGAUCCUGUGACGACAAACUGGGUGGUUGGCAAGAACCUGAUCUCUUUAACUGCACCUCAGAAGCGUUCAUCGAGCAAAGACAUCAGCUAGCCGCGUUAGAGACCAAGGAUUUGACUUUGAAUACCUAUGUCGCUGUUAAAAUAGCAAAAGACGUGCACAGAGCGGUGAACGAGACCAAAGACUUGUACGGAGCUGAUCUGUUGAUCGCAGAAUCCUUGCUGAUAGCAUUGUUGCAGUAUGAGGAGAGUUUGGUCGGAUUGAACUUGACUCAUAGUCAAGAUAAAGAUUACGUUUCUCAUUUGGUUGGCAUUUCUAGCUAUAUUCUGAAAUCCAAAUAUGCGGAGAAAUGGUCGAGGAUUGAGAUGCUUAACGGUGAUACUCCUGACAAGAUUUUGGAUGCAAUGGCGAAUUAUUUGAAGACCUUGACUGCGUCUCAACAUGAUACUUUUACUAAUCCUUUUGAAGUAGUCGACACUAAUGUUGUAUUAGGUUUAGAUGUAGUAACUUCUGAAAGUUUAUUCGGAUACGAGACUGCAGAAUACAUGGAUGAUCCGUCAGCGUCUACGGUAAGGCCAACUGAAGCGGAUCAGAAGGUUGUCUUGCCUGAUACUUCUGCGUUCCUGUCGUCCCCUGCUCAUUUCGGCCCGUCAAUUACUUUCCCAAAGUAUAACAAUUACAUGGCCGAUCCAAGCAGAUUCGAUCCAUAUUCAAAGAUACGAGUGCCUCUUAAUAUAUUAGGCAUAAAACCUCUAAUGCAAGGGGAAUUAAAUGUUAAAAAAAGUUUGGUCAAUCGAAAGGCUGUGUUGAGUUACGUGCAAUAUAAGCAAUUAGGUGCCCUGCUGCCUCAAAGAUUCGAUGAUUCCGUAGCAGUUAGAUGGGGCGUAGAAGUAGCGGUAGGCUCUCCAGUCGUAACAGUAUCCGUUUUAGUACCUUCGGAUGACGGUUACGAGUCUCUGACUGGAAUUCCUUUGCAAUCUCCAGUUCAAAUUAGUCUUUGGCUCAGCGAGAAGGAUGAGUUCAAGACUAGAACCAAUCCACAAUGUGUACAUUGGAGUACAAUUAGAGGAAUCGGUGAAUGGAGCCGAAUAGGUUGUACUACGGAAGUCGAGGAUGAUUCUCUGUCUUUCGGCACCAUCGUAAACUGCUCCUGUUUCCAGUUAUCCACUUUUGCAAUACUAACGGACGUACUUGAUCCAGAAUACGUCCCAGAACCGUCUUUACUGGAAGAUGUAACGAGCUAUAGUGCGUUUAUGCUCGCGUUGCCUUUGCUAUUAUCUGCCUUACUCAUUCUGGCUUUGAUACGAGGCGGUGGUACAAAUUCGAAUAGUAUCCAUAAAAAUUUGGUAAUGUGCGUUUUCUUCGCCGAAGUGCUCUACUUGAUCGCGCUCAAAGCCAGAAGUCCUCUAGUCUCGAAUGAGUUUCCGUGUAAACUAACGGCCAUUGGUUUACACUAUGCUUGGUUGAGUACAUUCUCGUGGACUUUGGUGGACUCCAUUCAUCUAUAUCGGAUGUUAACCGAAAUGAGAGACGUGAACCAUGGACAAAUGAGAUUCUACUAUACAAUGGGCUAUGGAGCUCCAGCUAUCAUUGUUGGACUGACUAUCGGCGUUAGAGCCGAUCAAUACGGAAACUUUUAUUUCUGUUGGUUAUCAAUUUAUGAAACCGUGAUUUGGUCUUUGAUAGGACCAGUUUGCCUAGCAGUUUUUGUGAACUUCUGCAUUCUUGUCAUGUCAGUACGAGCGGCGUUUACAUUAAAAGAACACAUUAUGGGUUUUGGAAAUUUAAGGACGUUACUCUGGUUAUCGGUAGCUUCGUUACCUUUACUUGGAUCUACAUGGACUCUGACAGUUCUCAAUGCCUCCGAAAAUUCUCCAACAUUGUCAUACCUGCUUAGUAUAGCAGUAGUCGUUCAUGCGUCAUUUAGUUUGGUUGGUUAUUGCUUCAUUAAUGGUAGAGUAAGAAGGAAUCUGUAUUUAAGUUUAUUGAGAUGCAUUGGGAAAAAGACACCUUUGUUAGAAGGAAGUAUGGGAAACGGAAGCAGCAGCCAGAACGUAAACGGUCACUCGCGGUCUGCGUUGGCGUACUCGUCAACGUAUAGUGGAGCAGAGUCCGUGUGUAGGAGAGUCCACGUAGGAGUCUCGACGAGUAGUACAACUUCACGAAGUACAAAUAAAACUGGGUCCAGCCCCUAUCGUAGCGAUACACAUUUAAGGCAUACGUCAACAUCCACGAGCAAUUAUAAUAGCGACAGAGAUCCUUAUAUGUCUUCUAGAAGCCAUAGAUCAACGUUACAUUCUAGACAAGAAGCGACAGAACCAAGGAAUCAACGUAGAGAUUCCGAAUCAGAUUCAGACGGAUCCCAAGCAGAAGGUGGCGGAAGAAGCUUAGAUCUUGCGAGUUCGCACAGCUCCGACGAAGAAGAUGUUACGUCAAGGUCGCACCGAAAUAUGGGCGUCUCGACGCAGCAACCAGUCGCACACAAUUAUUUGCCUAAUAUUCACAGCAAUCCUACCGAACACUUGAACAUACUUUGCUCAAACACCGAACUAUUCCCAAACAUUAAACCAAUUUACGCGCCUAGGUGGAGUUCUCAGUUACCAGAAGCAUAUUUAUCAUCAAAUGUAAUAGACGUGCGCGGAAGUCAAUGGUCUGGAGGUACCAUGUCCGACAACGAAAUGGCCUCGAACAAGACUUCUAGUCCGAAUCCACUGCCUUAUCCCGAAAUGAAUUCGCCUCAGAAGAGUCAACCGGAUGAAAAUUAUUCGGAAGGGGAAGAGAAGCUUCAUCACUUGGGAGAAAAAUACUUGUUCCCAUAUACAGCUGAGGAAGAUCACACUGUCUCACCUACUCCAUACAUGCUACCCAUUUCUUCGCGCAUUCUUGCAUCCAGCAUGAGCCAUCACUCGCAAAAUUCAAACCAUGAGAAUCUGAGUGGCUCAGAAAGAUAUGGAAGUCUGAAGAGGGGGCAGAGUCUACAUGGUUCUCAACACGAUAACCUCAGUGGCUCGGAAAGAUACGGUAGCUUAAAGCGCGGCAAAAUGACACCGACUGUGCUGGAAGAUUCACCGGAAUAUAUUCUACCUAUGAGCGGUAGAAUAUUGUCCAGUUCACUGACUCACGAUUUACAGCAUAGCAAUGAAUUGGCUGCGCUCAGACAACAGCAGCAGCAACAAUACGAACAGACCAUUACGGAGACCGAGUGAGUAUGAUGUAUUACAUUUGAGAAAAAUAUCUUGCGUCACAACAAAUGGUAUCGAUGUAGUUUAACUAAGUUCAUUUGCUUUAUAAUUUACGCUUACCCUGGAAUGUGACAAUUAGUGAAGAGGAAGGAUACUAAUGCGGAAACGUCAGUAUGACAAUCUCCGUGCUACAAACAAACACCGUACAAAGUAAUAUAACGUACUAUUAGCUUAAAAUUCAAAUGAUUAAAUAUAUAUAUAUAUAUAUAGAUAUAGAUAUAUAUAUAUUUCUUAGAGUGGUAAUUGCUCUAAGGUAUAUUUUAAGAGCGGCCAUGACUGUACUUACAAAGUUAGCCAUAUGGAUUAGUAUGUAUGUGUGAGUGCCUGUACGUAUCUAUAUACAUACGCUUGUCGGUAUUUCGUUUCGUGUGAUUCCAGCUUCAGUCGGAAGCGACUCUUUCGACUUCUUCGUUAACGAUAAACGCGACGAAUGGUCGGAAGACAUAUGAUCUCUAGUUCAUUUCAUCAUUCGUGUAAUUAAUAUCACUUUCUCUAGUACCUUAAUUUUUAAACUCAGUAUUGUGCAAUGUAUACAUUCCAAUUUCACUUUAUAUUUAGAUUCUAUUUUCUUCCUUCAUUUUCUUUUCUCUCCCUCCUUUUUUUUUUAAGAAGUUUACAAUGUUUUAUACAUGCCAUGUGGAAGAAUCGUACAACUGUGCGGCGCAAUUUCCAUAGUUUUGUAUAUAUUUAUAUGAAAAGAAUGUGACAAAAUACAUAAUUUAUACAUAUCCUUCAUCGGAUGACCGCGAA